AAGGCGGCAUUCGUCAGCGUUAGACGAGUGCUCGAGCCUCCCCUGGCAGGCUGGCAACGGCGACUGGCGGCAAUGGCCGCGCUGCGGCUACCAAGAGCUCCAGCCACGGCGGCCCUGGCCGGCACCGGCGUCCCGUACCGCCUCCCAACCCCGAAGCAGCCCCCGCCGGCGCGGGGCCCCAACACGGCCCACCUCAACGCGCUGCUAACGGCCUACGGCCGCCGCGGCCGCAUCUGGGACGCCCAGCAGCUGUUCGACCGGAUGCCCCGCCGCGACGUCAUCUCCUGGACGGCCCUCCUCACCGCCUACGCGGACGCCGGCGACCCUGGCUCCGCGCGCCUCGUCUUCGACGACAUGCCCCGCCGCAACGCCGUCUCCUGGAACGCGCUGCUCUCGCUCUACCUCCGCGCGGGCGCGGGAACGCCCGCCGCGGCGGCGGCGGCGGCCGCGCACGCGCUCUUCGCGAAGAUGCCGGCCAAGAACGCCGUAUCGUACGGAGCCAUGAUCACGGGGCUCGCCAGGGCGGGCAUGCUGCGGGAGGCCCAGGCUGUCUACGGGGAGAUGCCGCCGCGGUGGCGGGACCCUGUGGGGUCGAACGCGAUGAUGGCCGGGUACCUCAGAGCCGGGGAGCUUGACAUGGCGCUGAGGGUGUUCGACGGAAUGGCGUUGAGGAACGUCUUUUCCUGGAGCUCUAUGGUUGAUGGACUGUGUAAGCAUGGGACUGUAUCGGAGGCGAGGAGGCUGUUCGAGGCAAUGCCGGAGCGGAAUGUGGUGUCCUGGACCUCGAUGAUCCGGGGGUAUGUGAAACGUGGGAUGUGCAGAGAUGGUCUCUUGCUGUUCCUGGACAUGAGAAAUGAAGGUGUUCAGGUUAAUGAAACGGCACUGUCAGUGGUGCUGGAUGCUUGCUCUGAGGACAGUCUUGUCAGAGAAGGAAUUCAGAUUCAUGGGUUGAUUAUAGCAAUGGGUUUUGAAAUGGACGUUUUCUUGGGUGACUCGAUAAUCAUAAUGUAUUCCCGCUUCGGUUGGAUGGUCGAUGCUAGAAGGGUGUUUGCUUCCAUGGAGCAGAAGGACAUAGUAUCGUGGAACUCAUUGAUCACAGGGUAUGUUCAGAAUAACAUGAUUGAAGAUGCACAUGUGCUUUUCAAGCUGAUGCCUGAGAGGGAUGCUGUUUCUUGGACAUCAAUCAUAGUUGGGUUUGCUAAUAGGGGUUGGAUGAGAGAAGCCGUUGACCUCUUUGAGGAAAUGCCAGAAAAAGAUGAGGUGGCUUGGUCUGCAGUUAUUUCCAGUUUCAUUGCAAAUGGAGACUACGUAAAUGCUGUGCAGUGGUUUCGUCGUAUGUCAAAGGAAGGGUGCAAGCCUAAUACAGUGGCUUUUAGUUGUUUGCUGAGUGCUUUGGCUAACUUGGCAAUGGUGAAUCAGGGACUGCAAGCUCAUGCUUACGCAGUCAACAUGGGAUGGAUAUUUGACUCAGCUGUUUACACUUCUUUGGUGACAAUGUAUGCAAAAUGCGGUAGGUUGGCUGAGGCUCAUCGUGUUUUCUCAAGCAUUAGCAAUCCAAGCCUUAUUGCCACUAAUUCUAUGAUUACAGCAUUUGCGCAACAUGGCUUGGCUGAAGAUGCACUCGAACUGUUCAACAGAAUGCAAUAUGACGGCCAAAGGCCUAACCACGUGACAUUCUUGGGAAUACUGACUGCUUGUGCACGAGCUGGUUUAGUUCAACAAGGCUAUUACUACUUUGAGUCCAUGAGAUCAGUCUAUGGCAUUGAACCAAACCCUGACCACUAUACAUGUAUGGUUGAUCUUUUAGGCCGUGCAGGCUUCCUUGCUGAAGCACUGGAAAUGAUUAAUUCGAUGCCCCAGAAAGAUUAUGCUGAUGCAUGGGCAGCUUUGCUUAGCUCUAGUAGCCUCCAUUGUAAUCUUUCUUUUGCAAAAUUAGCAGCACAGAGGCUACUUGAGAUGGAUCCUUACAAUGCAACAGCUUACACAGUCCUGUCAAACAUGUUCUCCUCAGCAGGGAUGAAGGAUGAUGAAGAGAUGCUAAAAGUUGCACAGUUAUCCAACACGGCUACUAAAAGUCCUGGGUAUAGCCUCAUCAUACAGGAAAAGACUAACACAGAAUGAGCACCACCAGGUGCAAAUAACUGGCAUAUCGUAAGACAGGAAUAUUGGAUUCACAAAGAAAACAAGUCUGAUGCCAAGAGUAGAUGUCAAUUUGUUGAUAUCUUUUGAAUGCCACUGCAGAGUCAGUAUUGAUAACUCAGAUGGCAUUGCACGUGCAUAUUUUUCCUUAUUAAUGCCUAGUAAGUAUAUGUUUGUAUCUGACAAGAUAAUUAGUGAUAUGAAGAUCAAGGAACCUGGUUAUCUGGAUAGACUAUUUGACACUGGAGAGUUGAUGAUGCUUCUGCAAAUAAUUCAUCUUCUAUCAUGGCAUGUUGAAUAAGAGCAAAAUCCUUUGGAUGCUGCGCGCUUUCAACUUUCAGGAAUAUUUGUGCAAGAUAUAAUAUUCUCAUCCAUUGUUAGAGAAGAGAGUCAUUUAGUGAGUGUAUUGGAGAAGGAUGAACAGCAUGAGGCUAAGGCUUCCACCUGGACCUCCAACAUGGCCAAUCUUUGGUAACCUUCUCCAGUUGAGCCCUCUUCCACACAAAGACUUCGCUCGAUUCUGCACCAAAUA